UUGGUCUUGGUGUUUGAAUAAAGCCUCUUCCAGUCAUCCAAUACCAUCUUACUUGGAGGCAACAGAUCAAGAGGGUUCUUUGGCUUUGGCUUGGGUGCCUCUUCCUCCUCAGCAGCCUCUGCCACUUUAGGCUUUACUGGUUCUUUUUUGGCCUCCUUUUUGGCCUCUUUUUUUGGCUCAUCCUUGUGCUUAGGUUCUUUUGGUUGUGAAGGCUUCUUUGCUGACUGAACAGGUGGAACAGAUUCUGCCUGUUUCACCUCACCCAAUAUCUUGCGGAAAUUUGGCUGAUUAACCAUGGUCCAGAAAUAUCUCUCAACAUGUGGGAACUCCGAGGUAAAGCUC
rnacentral:lncRNA from 1 species